rnacentral:lncRNA from 10 species
AGGAAAGUCUGUGCUGCGCCUUCUUCCUCCCUCUGUGUGCUCGUCCUGCCCCUGCCAGCAGCCCCAUCCACGUUCAGGGAGGCAGGGAGGAAGGGAGUCCAGGCUGGCCAAAGGCCUUGGGGCCAGCAGACACUUCCAGAAAAGACCAUAUGGAAGAGUUGUGAAGAUGGACAGUGGUGACAGCUACACAACAAUGUGAAGGUUUUCACACGCACUGCAGAGUUUCCAGAGAUAAAGCCCCACAACCAGAGAUGGCAAAGCACCUCCUUUCUCUGCCUCCAGAGAGGAGAAUUCAGCCGAGCAGGAAACUACGGAGUCUCUGAUUGGCUUCUGAGAGCUGGAGCAGUUUGUGAGUGUCAGGGACCCAGGAACCUCAGCCCCAGGCUGUCAUUCCCUUCGGCUUCUGGCUCAGUCCUGCUGCAUCUUAUAAGGCCCCUGGGUGAACUAGGGGCUGGGAGGUGGUGCGUUACCCCUAGAGCAGCUGGGCCCACAGGCUCACCAGGCUGAGGGAGUGUGGCCUCACGAUCAAGAGCAGGGGAUUUUGAGGUCAGACAGGACUGGGAGCAAAUCUCAGCCCUGCAGCUUCCUGCUGUGGGACUGUAGAUAAAUGACUGGGUUUCUCUGGGCCUGCAAAGCUCUCAAUAAACAGGAGCAGCCAGCAGCAGGACUGGAGUCCACAGGUGAUCUGUCUCUGACCUCAGGUGUCCACAACCAUCCUCUCAGAAGACAGGCAAGCAAGGCAGCUCUCCUGCCCCUCAGCACUGGCCACGCUGGGACACAGUGGGACACCAGGACUUUAAGCCAUCCUUUAGGCCAAAGAAUCCCCACAUAACAAAUUCAUUGUGUGCAAUAAAGAA